UACGUAGGCAGCGAGCGUUGUUCGGAAUUACUGGGCGUAAAGAGUGUGUAGGCGGUGCUCUAAGUUCGGUGUGAAAUCUCCUGCUUAACUGGGAGGGUGCGCCGGAAACUGGGGUGCUCGAGCGUGGGAGAGGAAAGCGGAAUUCCGGUGUGAGCGGUGGAAAUGCGUAGAUAUCAGGAGGAACACCUGUGGUGUAGACAGCUUUCUGGACCAUUGCUGACGCUGAGACACGAAAGCGUGGGUAGCAAACAGG
rnacentral:rRNA from 1 species